rnacentral:rRNA from 1 species
UACAGAGGGGGCAAGCGUUAUUCGGAAUUACUGGGCGUAAAGGGCUCGUAGGUGGCCAACUAAGUCAGACGUGAAAUCCCUCGGCUUAACCGGGGAACUGCGUCUGAUACUGGAUGGCUUGAGAUUGGGAGAGGGAUGCGGAAUUCCAGGUGUAGCGGUGAAAUGCGUAGAUAUCUGGAGGAACACCGGUGGCGAAGGCGGCAUCCUGGACCAACACUGACGCUGAGGAGCGAAAGCCAGGGGAGCAAACGGG